CCUACGGGGGGCUGCAGUGAGGAAUAUUGGUCAAUGGGCGCGAGCCUGAACCAGCCAAGUAGCGUGAAGGAUGACUGCCCUACGGGUUGUAAACUUCUUUUAUCAAGGAAUAAAGUGAGGCACGUUUGCCUUUUUGUAUGUACUUUAUGAAUAAGGAUCGGCUAACUCCGUGCCAGCAGCCGCGGUAAUACGGAGGAUCCGAGCGUUAUCUGGAUUUAUUGGGUUUAAAGGGGGCGUAGAUGGGUUGGUAAGUCAGUUGUGAAAGUUUGCGGCUCAACCGUAAAAGUGCAAUUGAUACUGGCAGGCUGGAGUACAGGUGAGGUAGGCGGAAUUCGUGGUGUAGCGGUGAAAUGCUUAGAUAUCACGAAGAACUCCGAUUGCGAAGGCAGCUUACUAAACUGCCACUGACAUUGAUGCCCGAAAGUGUGGGUAUCAAACAGGAUUAGAUACCCGUGUAGUC
rnacentral:rRNA from 1 species